UACGAAGGGGGCUAGCGUUGCUCGGAAUCACUGGGCGUAAAGCGCACGUAGGCGGAUUGUUAAGUCAGGGGUGAAAUCCUGGAGCUCAACUCCAGAAUUGCCUUUGAUACUGGCGAUCUCGAGUCCGGGAGAGGUGAGUGGAACUGCGAGUGUAGAGGUGAAAUUCGUAGAUAUUCGCAAGAACACCAGUGGCGAAGGCGGCUCACUGGCCCGGUACUGACGCUGAGGUGCGAAAGCGUGGGGAGCAAACAGG
rnacentral:rRNA from 1 species